UCGAAAAUGUCCCAACAUGUAUGCUUUUGAUAUUAAAAUCCUCUAUAUCAGGAUAUUACAAUCUUUUCAAGCAACUACAAUAAAGAAUAAUAAUUUUUCAUGCAAGUUUGUGAGACGACAAACAAAUAAAUAAAUAAAUAACCAAACUUGCCUGCUAGAAGACUUGAGCUGAUCUCUAAACUCCUUGAACUUGAGAUUUCUCAUGUUCUCGAAACUAAAGACGUAAGCUGAACUAUACUUUUCCGCACAUUCCCUUAUUGUAUUUACUAUAUUUUCUUUGUGCUCCUUCCCCUUCUUCUUCGUCUUCGACAAUGUCACUGCAAUUAGAAACCACAACACAUCAGCUUAAUAAUUCAGAAAUUACUUAAAAAAACAUAAACUAUACUCAAGUAGUAAGAACUCAGCAAUCAGUUAUUGAAAUUUCAAGGGUUGUACUGCACCGGCUCUAUUACGCUUCGACUUCGGCAUUGUUUCUUUGGUUUUUGUGGUGAAAGCUAAAACCCUACUUCUUGUUUUUGCUUUCACAAAGUAUAACCUGGCCGCGCGUUUAGUUUUAUGUGUUUAUACUGGUUUGGUCGAUACUGGGCCUUGAGUUCAUAAGCCCAGUUAACUGACAGGUUGGGCUGAUUUGUUGGGUUUUAAUAAGAAACUUACAAAAAUGUCUCAUAUACGUUUCAACUUAUUAAUAUCUAGCCAAUAUUUUAAAAAACAAAAUAAAUAAGGAAUUUUUUAGUAGGUAUAGUUGAAAUUCAUUGAAAACAUAAAGAUAAGUUAAUAUACAAAAUUUUCCGUACAUUCCCUUAUUGUAUUUACUAUAUUUUCUUUGUGCUCCUUCCCCUUCUUCUUCGUCUUCGACAAGGUCACUGCAUUAGAAACCACAACACAUCAGCUUAAUAAUUCAGAAAUUACUAAAAAAAAAUAUUCAGAAAUUACUAAAAAAAAUAUACACUAUAACACCUUAUCAAUUGAAAUGCUUAAGUAGUAAGAACUUAGCAAUCAGAUAUUCAAAAAUCAAGGGUUAU
rnacentral:lncRNA from 1 species